GAAACCCACCACCCUAACUCACAUUCGGAACCUGGGGCCCCCAUGUGCGCGCGCUCCACUGACGCCACCCCCAGAAAGGAUCAUGGAGAGGAGGCCACGUGCUCAGCUGAGAUGGGAACCGACCUAGUCCCGGUUCACUGGCUGGUGGAAACUCAGGCAAGAGAAGGAAUGAUUAAGGGAACAUGCAGGAGGAACAGCAAUGAGACAUCAUCGUAAUUCCGGUGAGGCCACCUCAUUCUGGUCUCUGCUCAGAUGUCCCUUCCCUGACCACACCAGCCCCCACCUCUCCCUCCCUGCCUCUCACCUGCUUCCUUUCCUGCUGGUGUACCCGGCCAUCUGAUGAUGGCAUGUACACCUUUGUUUAAUGGAAGAUCCAGGAGAGCGGGGCUCGGCUUUGCUCACUGCCAUGUCCCCAGCGUCUAGGGAAGUUGGCUGCAUUAACUGAACACUUGCUCUGUGCCAGGCACUGUAUCAUGCAUGUGCUUUAAAUGCGUUAAGUAAUCUUAGCCUUACUGUGGUCCUGUGAGGGUUUUUACCCAAGUAGAAAAAUGACGCCCAGAGAAGUUAAGAAUCUUGCCCAAGGACAUAGGAUUUGACCCUGGCCCUCUGUGCUCCUACACAUGCCCUGGAUCGCCAACCAUGGUGACUUGGCCCUUUCCUCCACCCUCGCACAGCCUCUGCUGGGGGGACUACCCCGCUCCUUCUGCCCUUGCUGAGUUCCCUGUGCCAGUCUCAGGAAUGCUGAACCAAACCCCUGGACCCUGAGCACCCCCAACCAGCCUGGCCUUUGGACGAGAAGAGGAGCAUUCAUACUGAAGGGAUCCAGAAUCUCUCACUGUGAGUGGUUUUUCCCGUACUCCCAGUAUCUAAAAGCAGAGUCUCCUGGAAGGAUUCAGCUGUCACCAGUCUCCUCCUCAGGAGAUGGGCUCUUUCCACUGGAGAGAAAUCUGCUUCGGAGUAAGAAAUCACAUAAGCAGGUAUUGUCACAAGACUACCAUAUUUCCUAUCUAUUUUCCUAAGGGCCUAUUUAUCUUUCCUAAAAGCCAUUUGAUGGGACACCUGGGUGGCUCAGUCGGUUAAGCAUCUGACUCAUGGCUUCACCUCAGGUCAUGAUCUCAUGGUUUUGUGAGUUUGAGCCCCCUCGUCGGGCUCUG
rnacentral:lncRNA from 1 species